rnacentral:rRNA from 1 species
UACAGAGGUCUCAAGCGUUGUUCGGAUUCAUUGGGCGUAAAGGGUGCGUAGGCGGCGCGGUAAGUCGGGUGUGAAAUCUCGGAGCUUAACUCCGGAACUGCAUUCGAUACUGCCGUGCUUGAGGACUGGAGAGGAGACUGGAAUUUACGGUGUAGCGGUGAAAUGCGUAGAUAUCGUAAGGAAGACCAGUGGCGAAGGCGGGUCUCUGGACCGGUUCUGACGCUGAGGCGCGAAAGCGUGGGUAGCAAACAGG